ACACCACUUCAAUGAUCACCUCCACAACAUUGUGCAGAAACUCAAACCCAAAAAAAUUCUAAAUUUUGAACAAAAAUUAACCAAACCCAGACCUCCAACAAAAAUCUAAAAUUUCAUUAAAACAAAACCACCAAUCUCAGAUCUAAAAUCAGAAAUGAUCGUGUUUGAUAUUUUCACCAUUUGAUUUAAAACCAGUCUCAGAUCUAACACUAAUCUCAGAUCCAAACUAAGAGUAACUCAAAAGGAUUGAGUAUUUUGUUGUUAUGAUAGUUUUUAUUUCUUCAUUGUUGUAGAUUAUUGUGUUAGAUGAUGUGGGAAGCAAUGGGUUUUGUUGAAAAAUGGUGAAGAUAGAACAUAGGUAUAG
rnacentral:lncRNA from 1 species